UGGUAAGAUUUUCUUUAAGAUAUCUGUUAGGUUUGGGGUGUUUUUAUUAUCUUCCACUUGCAUUAAUUCAUGAUACAAGUUUUUCUCUCUCUUCCUUUCAGCAUCUCACCAGUUUCUUUCUAUAAGUAGUGUCAAAGUUUGCUCGGCAGCAGCAGAUUAUAAAACAAACUAAUCUCAUGAGCAGGAGAAAAUCACUGGGCUCAAAAUCUUGCCUGUCUGGAGACAGUCAGACUUUCCAUCAGGGACCUGCCAUCUCUAGCUCCACAAAUCUACUUCUACAGGCUCUUUGUCUGAAAUGAACAAGGACCUUGACACUUCUAAACGGCACUGCUCAGGCGUUUUGUAGAAUGCUCCACAGUGUGAGUUUACCUGAUGUUUUUUCAUGAAUAGAUUGAGGCUACGGAUUUUGGAGAAAAAUAUCAUAAAGAUGGAGUCUCACUCUGCUGCCAGGUUGGAGUGCAGUGGCGCAAUCUCGGCUCACUGCAACCUCUGCCUCCCGGAUUCAAGUGAUUCUCGUGCCUCAGCCUCCCCUAAGAUUAGAUUUAACCUAUUCAACUUAACGUUCAGGUUAUUUGCAAUAUGCCCAUCACAUUUUCAGCCUGCAUAUCCCAGUACUU